AACGCGAAGAACCUUACCAGGCCUUGACAUCCCUUGCAAAGUCUUAGAGAUAUGAUAGAGGUUAUCAAGGUGACAGGUGGUGCAUGGUUGUCGUCAGCUCGUGUCGUGAGAUGUUGGGUUAAGUCCCGCAACGAGCGCAACCCUUGUCUUCAGUUACCAUCAUUAAGUUGGGGACUCUGGAGAGACUGCCGGUGAUAAACCGGAGGAAGGUGGGGAUGACGUCAAAUCAUCAUGCCCCUUAUGGCCUGGGCUACACACGUACUACAAUGGCGUAUACAACAAGAUGCAAUACCGUAAGGUGGAGCUAAUCUAUUAAAAUACGUCUCAGUUCGGAUUGAGGUCUGCAACUCGACCUCAUGAAGUUGGAAUCGCUAGUAAUCGCAGAUCAGCAUGCUGCGGUGAAUACGUUCUCGGGUCUUGUACACACGC
rnacentral:rRNA from 1 species